UGUUUCAUUUGUCACAGCGCUAAUAUACGUCAUUGUCGUCUGGCAUAAAACGGAGAGUUUUUUUUGUGUGAUUCCUCACCGACUGCAGUCCGUCGAUAACCUUACAUUCGCAUCAUGAAAUACGCCGUCAUUCUCCUGGCCGCCUACGCCCUGUUCAGUACAGGAAACGCCAGUCCGUGCGGCGAUGUAUUGUGUCCACAGGAUCUGAACCCGAUCUGCUCUCAGGACGUGAACGGCACGUGGAAUCUGUUCACUAACGAGUGUGAGCUGGACAGUUGUGGCGGUGUCUCUGCUUUCUCCGGGAGUUGUUACGUCAAACGUCAACGACGUCGCUGACUGUGCUUGUUAACGAAACCACUGGUUUUCCAGUACUUAAAUAAAAUUUGUUCCUGAGCAAUUUAA